GACGAACGCUGGCGGCAUGCCUAAUACAUGCAAGUCGAGCGGAGUUGAUGAGAAGCUUGCUUCUCUGAUACUUAGCGGCGGACGGGUGAGUAACACGUAGGCAACCUGCCCUCAAGCUUGGGACAACUACCGGAAACGGUAGCUAAUACCGAAUACUUGUUUUCUUCGCCUGAAGGAAACUGGAAAGACGGAGCAAUAUGUCACUUGGGGUUGGGCCUGCGGCGCAUUAGCUAGGUGGUGAGGUAACGGCUCACCAAGGCGACGAUGCGUGGCCGACCUGAGAGGGUGAUCGGCCACACUGGGACUGAGACACGGCCCAGACUCCUACGGGAGGCAGCAGUAGGGAAUCUUCCGCAAUGGGCGAAAGCCUGACGGAGCAAUGCCGCGUGAGUGAUGAAGGUUUUCGGAUCGUAAAGCUCUGUUGCCAGGGAAGAACGCUUGGGAGAGUAACUGCUCCCAAGGUGACGGUACCUGAGAAGAAAGCCCCGGCUAACUACGUGCCAGCCGCCGCCGUAA
rnacentral:rRNA from 1 species